GACGUAGGGCGCGAGCGUUGUCCGGAUUUAUUGGGCGUAAAGAGCUCGUAGGCGGCUUGUCGCGUCGAAUGUGAAAUCUCAGGGCUCAACUCUGACAUUGCAUUCGAUACGGGCAGGCUAGAGUUCGGUAGGGGAGACUGGAAUUCCUGGUGUAGCGGUGAAAUGCGCAGAUAUCAGGAGGAACACCGGUGGCGAAGGCGGGUCUCUGGGCCGAUACUGACGUGAGGAGCGAAAAGCGUGGGGGAGCGAACAGG
rnacentral:rRNA from 1 species